CUACGGGCGGCACCAGUCGAUAAUAUUCCUCAAUGGGCGAAAGCCUGAAGGAGCGACGCCGCGUGCAGGAUGACGGCCCUCGGGUUGUAAACUGCUUUUCUUAGGGAAGAAUUUUUGACGGUACCUAAGGAAUAAGAGGCUACUAACUCUGUGCCAGCAGUAGCGGUAAUACAGAGGCCUCAAGCGUUAUCCGGAUUUAUUGGGCGUAAAGAGCAUGUAGGCGGAUAUAUUAGUCAGAUGUCAAAUCCUCGAGCUCAACUCGAGAACUGCAUUUGAAACGGUAUAUCUAGAGACAGUGAGAGGCUAAUGGAACAUAUGGUGUAGUAGUGAAAUGCGUUGAUAUCAUAUGGAACACCAAAGGCGAAGGCAUUUAGUUGGCACUGUUCUGACGCUGAGAUGCGAAAGCGUGGGUAGCGAAUGGGAUUAGAUACCCCGGUAGUC
rnacentral:rRNA from 1 species